AUUGAACGCUGGCGGCAUGCUUUACACAUGCAAGUCGAACGGUAACAGGCCUUCGGGUGCUGACGAGUGGCGAACGGGUGAGUAAUGCAUCGGAACGUGCCCAAUCGUGGGGGAUAACGUAGCGAAAGUUACGCUAAUACCGCAUAAGCCCUGAGGGGGAAAGCAGGGGAUCGCAAGACCUUGCGCGAAUGGAGCGGCCGAUGUCAGAUUAGCUAGUUGGUGGGGUAAAGGCCUACCAAGGCGACGAUCUGUAGCGGGUCUGAGAGGAUGAUCCGCCACACUGGGACUGAGACACGGCCCAGACUCCUACGGGAGGCAGCAGUGGGGAAUUUUGGACAAUGGGCGCAAGCCUGAUCAGCCAUGCCGCGUGCGGGACGAAGGCCUUCGG
rnacentral:rRNA from 1 species